AUGGACCCCAAUAGCGUAUGGGAUGAGGCAUUGCCGCAUUCAUACGCACUCAUUGCAGAGCAAGGGUGGUUCAACAAGCAUUGGGUCUACUCCCAGCUGUCACGGUCACUGUCAACAAAAUAUCUUGCUCCUAGGUUGGAGGUUCAAAUUGUUCUAGACUUGGAAAUAUUGCAGUUGCAACCUAUUAACUCACAUGCACCAGCCAAUGUGAGUUGGCAUCACCAGUAUGCCAUGUGUCCCGGCAUCUGUAGGAGCAAGAAUAGCCUCUGCAAACCAAGGAUCAGAGGUUAUUCAUGCCAUUGUAGUGACGGUUACGACGGCAACCCUUACACCGCGGAUGGAUGUAAAGGCAGUCGCCGCAAACAGUUUAAAGGUACGAGCGCCGUUGUAGGAGUUGUUGUUGCUGCAGCUGGAGUCGUACUUCUGUUUCUGCUUGGGUUGUUGAUUAUGAAGAAAAUAAAAUACGAGAGGGCUAAAAUGUUAAAGCGCAAGUUCUUCAAACAAAAUCACGGACAAUUAUUGCAAUAG
rnacentral:rRNA from 1 species